CUCUGGUCCUCUUCCUCCGUUGUCCUCUUCGGCACCCACAGGGUCCAGGAUUUUGUUGUAGAUCAGUUGUGGAGAACUGCAGAUUCAAAUGGUUGGAGAGCAUCUUCUGCACCACGCACCUAUUGGCCUCCCCCACCAACUGAAUCCGAGAGCAAUGGGUACUUGCGUGUCCGGUGCAAUGGUGGCUUGUCCCAACAACGAAGUGCAGUAUGAUUAACAUAUGAAACUUUGUCUCUAAAGUAGCAUAGUUCAUCAUGCAAGUUUUAUGUGUUCAUGGCAACAUAGCUGAGAGAUUUAAGGUUACUUCUGCUUUGCUUUUGCAGAUAUGUAAUGCUGGCGCUCUACCCAUGGAUUC